rnacentral:rRNA from 1 species
GUGGAGUGAUCUGUCUGCUUAAUUGCGUUUCACUAAGGGCCCAUAAAUUCAAGGUAUGUUAGCAAAUGCUGCUCUAUUGACCCCUAAUAGGCUUAACUGUCUUUAGCGCGUGUCUCUACGAGUUCUUUAAAGCACUGCGCAUGCUGUUGGGUCCUGAAAGCAACGAACGUGACCGCAACGUCUUGUUGCCUCUCUAUAAUACCUUCUUAUUUUUAAUAAGAGUAUUUACCUGAGGCUAUUUUAAAACUAGACGGACCGCUGUUUCUUUCUUAAACCAGAGGAAGGUUGCGGCAAUAACAGGUCUGUGAUGCCCUUAGAUGUUCCGGGCUGCACACGUGCUACAAUGAUCAGUACAGUGAGCAUCUCAAUUUUAUAACACCGUAUUAAGCGCUUGGGUCGUAAUUGUUAGGCCUUUUGGGUUUUUUCAAUUGCGUUUCUCCAAUGCGCACGGUAAAGCCUGCUUCGAGAGUAAGUGGGUAAUCCAUUGGAAGUAAUGAUUUCCUUAUUUUUAUAAACAGCACACCAAUAUACGGCAUUCAUUCCCGAGACGGCUUAGUUCCGACUUUGUGCGAAUGUAAUGUAUUCUUAUCCGUAUGUGCGAUUGUCAAUUCAUGGUGGGGACAGACC